UGGGGAAUCUUGCGCAAUGGGCGAAAGCCUGACGCAGCCAUGCCGCGUGAAUGAUGAAGGUCUUAGGAUUGUAAAAAUUCUUUUCACCGGGGACGAUAAUGACGGUACCCGGAGAAGAAGCCCCGGCUAACUUCGUGCCAGCAGCCGCGGUAAUACGAAGGGGGCUAGCGUUGCUCGGAAUUACUGGACGUAAAGGGCGCGUAGGCGGACAUUUAAGUCAGGGGUGAAAUCCCAGAGCUCAACUCUGGAACUGCCUUUGAUACUGGGUGUCUUGAGUGUGAGAGAGGUAUGUGGAACUCCGAGUGUAGAGGUGAAAUUCGUAGAUAUUCGGAAGAACACCAGUGGCGAAGGCGACAUACUGGCUCAUUACUGACGCUGAGGCGCGAAAGCGUGGGGAGCAAACAGGAUUAGAUACCCCCGUAGUCCCUGAGCGGGCUGGCAAGGCGCAU
rnacentral:rRNA from 1 species